GUAGGUGGCAAGCGUUGUCCGGAAUUAUUGGGCGUAAAGCGCGCGCAGGCGGUUCUUUAAGUCUGAUGUGAAAGCCCACGGCUCAACCGUGGAGGGUCAUUGGAAACUGGAGAACUUGAGUACAGAAGAGGAAAGCGGAAUUCCACGUGUAGCGGUGAAAUGCGUAGAGAUGUGGAGGAACACCAGUGGCGAAGGCGGCUUUCUGGUCUGUAACUGACGCUGAGGCGCGAAAGCGUGGGGAGCAAACAGGAUUAGAUACCCUGGUAGUCCACGCCGUAAACGAUGAGUGCUAAGUGUUAGGGGGGUUUCCGCCCCCCUUAGUGCUGCAGCUAACGCAUUAAGCACUCCGCCUGGGUAGUACGGCCGCAAGGCUG
rnacentral:rRNA from 1 species